rnacentral:tRNA from 1 species
GGCAGGGGCUAUGGCUCAGUGGCAGAGCAUCUGCCUGCCAUGCAGAGGGUCCCAGGUUCAGUUUCCAGUAUUGCCA